rnacentral:rRNA from 1 species
GACGAACGCUGGCGGCGUGCUUAACACAUGCAAGUCGAACGGUGAAGCGCCUUCCUUUUUGGUGGGUGUGGAUGAGUGGCGAACGGGUGAGUAACACGUGCUUAACCUGCCCCCUUCUUCUGGAUAACCGCAUGAAAGUGUGGCUAAUACGGGAUAUUCUGGGUCUUUUGUAUGAUGGGUCUGGGAAAGAUAUUGUUUCGGUGGGGGAUGGGCUCGCGGCCUAUUAGCUUGUUGGUGGGGUGAUGGCCUACCAAGUCGGUGACGGGUAGCCGGCCUGAGAGGGUAGGCGGUCACACUGGGACUGAGACACAGCGCAGACUCCUCCGUGGGACAGCGGUGGAGAAUAUUGCGCACUGUGGGUAAACCUGUUGCAGCGACGUCGCGUGGGGGGUGGGAGGCUUCGAGUUGUGAUGCACUUCCGCCGGUGAAGCAGGACUGCCUCGUUUGUGGGUGGGUUGACGGUAGCUGGAUAAGAAGCGCCGGCUAACUACGUG